rnacentral:tmRNA from 1 species
GGGGGCGACUGGUAUCGACGGAGAUGCUGAACCCUUUGGGGCAUGUCGGGUUGUUGGUCCCGUAAAAAGCUGACAUUUGCAAUAAUUGCAAACGACGAACUAGAACUAGCUUACGCUGCGUAAGUUACCCCGCACUCGAGUUGCUCAUCGCCUGAGUAUCCGGGGUCAAACAGAUGAGAUCGCUACCUGAGACUGGAGAUUCGUGGUUUCAGGAGUUAAAAAGUUACGAACCGACCCUUUGGGCACUUUGUCUGUUCGGUUUCCAUCGGGUGCUGUUUGAAUAGACUAAACAUGUAGAACCACUGGCUGAUGGUUUUCGGACGCGGGUUCGAAUCCCGCCGCCUCCACCA